UAGCCGUAAACGAUACUCGCUAGGUGUCGGCCACGGUGCGACCGUUGUCGGUGCCGUAGGGAAGCCGUGAAGCGAGCCACCUGGGAAGUACGGCCGCAAGGCUGAAACUUAAAGGAAUUGGCGGGGGAGCACAACAACGGGUGGAGCUUGCGGUUUAAUUGGAUUCAACGCCGGACAACUCACCAGGAGCGACGGUUACAUGAAGGCCAGGCUGAUGACCUUGCCUGAUUUUCCGAGAGGAGGUGCAUGGCGUGUGACUGU
rnacentral:rRNA from 1 species